rnacentral:rRNA from 1 species
GAUGAACGCUGGCGGCGUGCCUAAUACAUGCCAGUCGAGCGAACAGACGAGGAGCUUGCUCCUCUGACGUUAGCGGCGGACGGGUGAGUAACACGUGGAUAACCUACCUAUAAGACUGGGAUAACUUCGGGAAACCGGAGCUAAUACCGGAUAAUAUAUUGAACCGCAUGGUUCAAUAGUGAAAGACGGUUUUGCUGUCACUUAUAGAUGGAUCCGCGCCGCAUUAGCUAGUUGGUAAGGUAACGGCUUACCAAGGCGACGAUGCGUAGCCGACCUGAGAGGGUGAUCGGCCACACUGGAACUGAGACACGGUCCAGACUCCUACGGGAGGCAGCAGUAGGGAAUCUUCCGCAAUGGGCGAAAGCCUGACGGAGCAACGCCGCGUGAGUGAUGAAGGUCUUCGGACCGUAAAACUCUGUUAUUAGGGAAGAACAAAUGUGUAAGUAACUAUGCACGUCUUGACGGUACCUAAUCAGAAAGCCACGGCUAACUACGUG